GACGUAGGAGGCGAGCGUUGUCCGGAAUCACUGGGCGUAAAGCGCACGUAGGCGGACUCUUAAGUCGGUGGUGAAAUCCUGGAGCUCAACUCCAGAACUGCCUUCGAUACUGAGAGUCUCGAGUCCGGGAGAGGUGAGUGGAACUGCGAGUGUAGAGGUGAAAUUCGUAGAUAUUCGCAAGAACACCAGUGGCGAAGGCGGCUCACUGGCCCGGUACUGACGCUGAGGUGCGAAAGCGUGGGGAGCAAACAGG
rnacentral:rRNA from 1 species